rnacentral:misc_RNA from 1 species
UUUCUCUGAAAAUUAUGCAGAUUCCCCAUGGUGCUUGGAUGAGCUUGUAAAGAUAUUUCAAUGCAUGAAAAUAUCAAGACAAAUAGUCCUACCAGUUUUUUAUCGUGUAGAUCCAACUGAUGUUCAAGAGCUGAGAGGGAAUUUUGGAGAGGCAUUUUGUAAGCAUAAAAAAGAAGUAAAAAUUUUGGAAGGAUGGCGCCAUGCCUUGAUAGAAAUAAGCAACUUAGCAGGAUGGGACUCACGCAAUUUCAGGUCCGAGUCUGAACUAGUUGAGGAAAUAGUAAAUGUUGUUUUGGAGAAAUUAAAUCACAUCUUUAAAUGUGAUUAUAAGAAUGAUGAUUUAGUUGGAAUUGAAUCGAGUGUGAGGAAAAUGGAAUCAUUAUUAUUUUCUGGACCAAUCAAUGAUAGACGAGCUGUAGGAAUUUGGGGGAUGGGAGGUAUUGGAAAGACAACUCUUGCUGAAGAAGUAUUUCAUCGAAUCAAGGAAAAAUUUGAUGGUCACUACUUUGUUGCCAAUGUUAGGGAAGAAAUAAUGAAGCAAACACCAAAUGCUUUACGGGACAAAAUCUUUUGUCAAUUGUUAGGAGAGAAAGAUGGAUAUAUAGACACUCCUCGUUUAGGGGCUUUCACUAUUAGAAGACUUCAAAGUAAAAAAGUAAUCCUUGUCUUUGAUGAUGUGGUUAAUCCAAACCAUUUAAAGCUUUUAGGUGGAGUAUGUGAUUUGUACAGUAAGGGAAGUAGAAUAAUUAUAACCAGUAGAGAUAGGCAAACACUUAAAAAUGUUUGUCUUGAGGAGCAUAUAUACGAGGUUAAAGAAUUAAUUGAUCGUGAAGCUCUCCGUCUCUUCAGCUUAUAUGCCUUUAAACAAGAUUAUCCCAAAGAAGGAUAUAAGAAGCUAUCAGAGAUGGCAAUAAGAUAUGCUCAAGGCAAUCCGUUGGCUCUUAGAGUUUUAGGCUCUAAUAUGUAUGAUAAGGGCAUAGAAGAAUGGGGAAGUGAGUUGAAAAAACUGAAAGAAAUUCCAGAUUUCCAAAUUCAAAAAGUUCUGAGAAUAAGUUAUGAUGAACUAGAUCGUCAUGACAAAAAUGUAUUCCUUGAUAUUGCAUUUUUCUUUAAGGGGGAGCCUAAAGGUCGUGUUGAGAGACUACUAGAUGCUUGUGGUUUCUUUGCAACAAGUGCACUAAGUCGUCUAAUUGAUAAAUCUCUCAUAACCAUUUCAUCAUCCAAAGUGGUUGGUAUGCAUGACUCGUUGCAACAAAUGGGCAAGGAUAUUACUUGCGAGGAAAAACAGAUUGGACAACGUAGCAGACUGUGGCAUCCUAAGGAUAUAUAUUACCUGUUGACAAGAGCUGAGGGGACUGGAGCAAAUAAAGGGAUAUCGCUAGACAUGUCCAAAAUUAGAGAGGUGGAACUAAGUCCUACAGUCUUUGAGAGAACGUAUAAUCUCAAAUUUCUCAAGUUCUACUCUUCAAUACCUCAUCAAAACAGAGUAAACCUCUCAGAAGGACUCAAAUUUCUUCCAUAUGAGCUAAGGUUACUGCAGUGGUAUCGAUACCCUUUGAAAUCUGUGCCAUUGAGUUCAUGUGCUGAGAAUCUUGUUGAUCUUCGCUUGACUAAUAGCAAAAUUAGGGAACUUUGGAAUGGAGUUCAGGCAGUCUUCUAUACUUCUUCAUAUACUUUCAAAGUGUUCAAUUUGGUCCAUCUCCCUAAUAUGCGUAUCUUCACAUUUUCAUUACAGCAUCUUGGAAAUUUGAAAUAUGUUAACCUCAGCUUCUCUAAGGAUCUAAUCAGAAUUCCAGACUUGUCUGGAUGCCCAAAUCUUGAGGUUCUUGAUUUGCAUACAUGUACAAGUUUGGUUGAAAUUCCCCCAUCUAUAAAAUGUUUGAGCAAACUUACUUCACUAUUUCUAACAAGUUGUGCAAGUCUUUGCGAUUUACCGAGCUUGCUUCAUUUGAAAAGUCUUGAGGUUCUUUUCGUACAGGAUUGCCCAAAAAUCAUAGAGUUUCCAGUGGUUCCAUGUGAUAUAAGGAGUUUAUAUAUGGGUAGAAAUACAAUAGAGCAAGUGCCCUCUUCAAUUGGGGGUCUCUCUCAUCUUUUUUUGUUGGAUUUGGGUUGGUCGACGGGGCUUGAAAGUCUUCCAGACAGCAUUUGCAAUCUCAAAUCUCUCAGAGAAUUUCCUAUCGGUCUCUGUGGGAACCUAAAGGAACUUCCGGAGAACUUGGGGAAUUUAGAAUCUCUAGAGAAGCUUUUUGUAAAUGACUCUGCUAUAAAAAAAUUACCAGACAACAUUUGCAAUCUGAAAAGGCUGGCGGAAUUAUCAGUUGAGAAAUGUGUGAAUCUCCUUGCUCUUCCAGCAAACCUGGGGAAUUUAGAGUCUCUAGAGAGACUUAUUGCAGAUGGUACUGGUAUAAAAGAAUUACCAGAGAGCAUUUGCAAUCUGAAAAAUCUUACAGAAUUAUCGGUUAAUGAAUGUGUAUAUCUGCAGAGUCUGCCAGAGAACUUUGGUAAUUUAGAAUCUCUAGACAAGUUUGGUGCACGUA